GCCUACGGGGCGCAGCAGUAGGGAAUCUUCCACAAUGGGCGAAAGCCUGAUGGAGCAACGCCGCGUGGGUGAAGAAGGUCUUCGGAUCGUAAAACCCUGUUGUUAGAGAAGAAAGUGCGUGAGAGUAACUGUUCACGUCUCGACGGUAUCUAACCAGAAAGCCACGGCUAGCUACGUGCCAGCAGCCGCGGUAAUACGUAGGUGGCAAGCGUUAUCCGGAUUUAUUGGGCGUAAAGGGAACGCAGGCGGUCUUUUAAGUCUGAUGUGAAAGCCUUCGGCCUAACCGGAGUAGUGCAUUGGAAACC
rnacentral:rRNA from 1 species